rnacentral:sRNA from 1 species
GAUUAGCCCCGAUUGUAAUGGAAAUCAUCCCGAUUUAUCGGGAUAUUGUAAUGCAAAGCGGGAAUAAGG